rnacentral:misc_RNA from 1 species
UCCCCGUUGCCGAGGCAGUCUCGCAAGACAUGUACAACUUGCGACGAGGGUUGCGCUCGUUAAGGGACUUAACCCUACAUCUCACGACACGAGCUGACGACGGCCAUGCAGCACCUGUCACCAGUCCAACUAAAUGACCAUCUAGUUUCCUAGACGUGCGACUGGGAUGUCAAAUCUUGGUAAGGUUCUUCGCGUAUCCUCGAAUUAAACCACACGCUCCACCGCUUGUGCGGGUCCCCGUCAAUUCCUUUGAGUUUUAAGCUUGCGCUCGUACUCCCCAGGCGGGAUGCUUAACGCGUUAGCUUUACUACCGAGCGGGUCGAUACGCCCGACAGUUAGCAUCCAUCGUUUACGGCGUGGACUAC